GGUUAAGCGACUAAGCGUACACGGUGGAUGCCCUGGCAGUCAGAGGCGAUGAAGGACGUGCUAAUCUGCGAUAAGCGUCGGUAAGGUGAUAUGAACCGUUAUAACCGGCGAUUUCCGAAUGGGGAAACCCAGUGUGAUUCGUCACACUAUCAUUAACUGAAUCCAUAGGUUAAUGAGGCGAACCGGGGGAACUGAAACAUCUAAGUACCCCGAGGAAAAGAAAUCAACCGAGAUUCCCCCAGUAGCGGCGAGCGAACGGGGAGGAGCCCAGAGCCUGAAUCAGUGUGUGUGUUAGUGGAAGCGUCUGGAAAGGCGCGCGAUACAGGGUGACAGCCCCGUACACAAAAAUGCACAUGCUGUGAGCUCGAUGAGUAGGGCGGGACACGUGGUAUCCUGUCUGAAUAUGGGGGGACCAUCCUCCAAGGCUAAAUACUCCUGACUGACCGAUAGUGAACCAGUACCGUGAGGGAAAGGCGAAAAGAACCCCGGCGAGGGGAGUGAAAAAGAACCUGAAACCGUGUACGUACAAGCAGUGGGAGCACGCUUAGGCGUGUGACUGCGUACCUUUUGUAUAAUGGGUCAGCGACUUAUAUUCUGUAGCAAGGUUAACCGAAUAGGGGAGCCGAAGGGAAACCGAGUCUUAACUGGGCGUUAAGUUGCAGGGUAUAGACCCGAAACCCGGUGAUCUAGCCAUGGGCAGGUUGAAGGUUGGGUAACACUAACUGGAGGACCGAACCGACUAAUGUUGAAAAAUUAGCGGAUGACUUGUGGCUGGGGGUGAAAGGCCAAUCAAACCGGGAGAUAGCUGGUUCUCCCCGAAAGCUAUUUAGGUAGCGCCUCGUGAAUUCAUCUCCGGGGGUAGAGCACUGUUUCGGCAAGGGGGUCAUCCCGACUUACCAACCCGAUGCAAACUGCGAAUACCGGAGAAUGUUAUCACGGGAGACACACGGCGGGUGCUAACGUCCGUCGUGAAGAGGGAAACAACCCAGACCGCCAGCUAAGGUCCCAAAGUCAUGGUUAAGUGGGAAACGAUGUGGGAAGGCCCAGACAGCCAGGAUGUUGGCUUAGAAGCAGCCAUCAUUUAAAGAAAGCGUAAUAGCUCACUGGUCGAGUCGGCCUGCGCGGAAGAUGUAACGGGGCUAAACCAUGCACCGAAGCUGCGGCAGCGACGCUGAUGCGUUGUUGGGUAGGGGAGCGUUCUGUAAGCCUGCGAAGGUGUGCUGUGAGGCAUGCUGGAGGUAUCAGAAGUGCGAAUGCUGACAUAAGUAACGAUAAAGCGGGUGAAAAGCCCGCUCGCCGGAAGACCAAGGGUUCCUGUCCAACGUUAAUCGGGGCAGGGUGAGUCGACCCCUAAGGCGAGGCCGAAAGGCGUAGUCGAUGGGAAACAGGUUAAUAUUCCUGUACUUGGUGUUACUGCGAAGGGGGGACGGAGAAGGCUAUGUUGGCCGGGCGACGGUUGUCCCGGUUUAAGCGUGUAGGCUGGUUUUCCAGGCAAAUCCGGAAAAUCAAGGCUGAGGCGUGAUGACGAGGCACUACGGUGCUGAAGCAACAAAUGCCCUGCUUCCAGGAAAAGCCUCUAAGCAUCAGGUAACAUCAAAUCGUACCCCAAACCGACACAGGUGGUCAGGUAGAGAAUACCAAGGCGCUUGAGAGAACUCGGGUGAAGGAACUAGGCAAAAUGGUGCCGUAACUUCGGGAGAAGGCACGCUGAUAUGUAGGUGAAGUCCCUCGCGGAUGGAGCUGAAAUCAGUCGAAGAUACCAGCUGGCUGCAACUGUUUAUUAAAAACACAGCACUGUGCAAACACGAAAGUGGACGUAUACGGUGUGACGCCUGCCCGGUGCCGGAAGGUUAAUUGAUGGGGUCAGCGCAAGCGAAGCUCUUGAUCGAAGCCCCGGUAAACGGCGGCCGUAACUAUAACGGUCCUAAGGUAGCGAAAUUCCUUGUCGGGUAAGUUCCGACCUGCACGAAUGGCGUAAUGAUGGCCAGGCUGUCUCCACCCGAGACUCAGUGAAAUUGAACUCGCUGUGAAGAUGCAGUGUACCCGCGGCAAGACGGAAAGACCCCGUGAACCUUUACUAUAGCUUGACACUGAACAUUGAGCCUUGAUGUGUAGGAUAGGUGGGAGGCUUUGAAGUGUGGACGCCAGUCUGCAUGGAGCCGACCUUGAAAUACCACCCUUUAAUGUUUGAUGUUCUAACGUGGACCCGUAAUCCGGGUUGCGGACAGUGUCUGGUGGGUAGUUUGACUGGGGCGGUCUCCUCCUAAAGAGUAACGGAGGAGCACGAAGGUUGGCUAAUCCUGGUCGGACAUCAGGAGGUUAGUGCAAUGGCAUAAGCCAGCUUGACUGCGAGCGUGACGGCGCGAGCAGGUGCGAAAGCAGGUCAUAGUGAUCCGGUGGUUCUGAAUGGAAGGGCCAUCGCUCAACGGAUAAAAGGUACUCCGGGGAUAACAGGCUGAUACCGCCCAAGAGUUCAUAUCGACGGCGGUGUUUGGCACCUCGAUGUCGGCUCAUCACAUCCUGGGGCUGAAGUAGGUCCCAAGGGUAUGGCUGUUCGCCAUUUAAAGUGGUACGCGAGCUGGGUUUAGAACGUCGUGAGACAGUUCGGUCCCUAUCUGCCGUGGGCGCUGGAGAACUGAGGGGGGCUGCUCCUAGUACGAGAGGACCGGAGUGGACGCAUCACUGGUGUUCGGGUUGUCAUGCCAAUGGCACUGCCCGGUAGCUAAAUGCGGAAGAGAUAAGUGCUGAAAGCAUCUAAGCACGAAACUUGCCCCGAGAUGAGUUCUCCCUGACUCCUUGAGAGUCCUGAAGGAACGUUGAAGACGACGACGUUGAUAGGCCGGGUGUGUAAGCGCAGCGAUGCGUUGAGCUAACCGGUACUAAUGAACCGUGAGGCUUAACCUU
rnacentral:rRNA from 1 species